rnacentral:rRNA from 1 species
UGGUGGAGUGAUUUGUCUGCUUAAUUGCGUUAACGAACGAGACCUCGGCCUAUUAAAUAGUUAUGGAAACCUUCUAAUUGGUGAAGGGGCUGAUGCAGGGCCUUCUAAGGGCAACCUUGGGAGGCCCCUUGGCUCUGGAUCCUUGAUGCGUUUCUAGAUAUACUUCUUAGAGGUACAAUUUACAUCAAGUAAAGUGAAGAACGAGGCAAUAACA